GAGUUUGAUCCUGGCUCAGAACGAACGCUGGCGGCGUGCCUAACACAUGCAAGUCGAGCGCGAAAGGAGCAAUCCGAGUAGAGCGGCGCACGGGUGCGUAACACGUGGGUAAUCUGCCUUAGAGUCGAGGAUAACUUUCCGAAAGGUUAGCUAAUACUCGGUAAGCUUACGGCGUCUUUGGACGCUGUGGGAAAAGUAGGCCUCUAUUUAUAAGCUUACGCUCUGAGAUGAGCCCGCGGCCCAUCAGCUAGUUGGCGGUGUAACGGACCACCAAGGCAACGACGGGUAGCUGGUCUGAGAGGACGAUCAGCCACACUGGAACUGAGACACGUCC
rnacentral:rRNA from 1 species